GCCCACAGCUAAAGCCUGUUCAACAUGGCAGCAUCAGCAGUGGUGGAUAUUAUGGAGACGUCGUUACUUAUCACUGUGAUCCUGGAUACGAGAUCAGUGGUGAUGAAGAACGGACCUGCCAGGCUAACCAGACGUGGAGCGGAACACAUCCUACAUGCAGCCGGAAAGCGUGCUCAGCGCUGCCAGUGCCAAACAACGGCAAUAUGACUGAGGGUCAUCUUUACGGGGACAAAGUCACAUUUACCUGCAAUGAUGGUUACGAACUUAUGGGGUCCGUAAACAGGACUUGUCAAGCCAACCAUACCUGGUCGGGUAUACAGCCGAAUUGCACAAGAACACCCUGCCCACAGCUGACACCUGUUCAACAUGGCAGCAUCAGUGGUGGUGGAUAUUAUGGAGACGUCGUUACUUAUCAAUGUGAUCCUGGAUACGAGAUCAGUGGUGAUGAAGAACGAACAUGCCAGGCUAACCAGAC